rnacentral:rRNA from 1 species
GACAGAGGCCCCAAGCGUUAGGCGGAAUCACUGGGCUUAAAGCGUGUGUAGGCGGAUCGUUAAGUGUCUUGUGAAAUCCCACGGCUCACCCGUGGAACUGCUGUGCAUACUGGCGAUCUUGGGCCAACUAGGGGCAGUCGGAACAAGCGGUGGAGCGGUGAAAUGCGUAGAUAUCGCUUGGAACGCCGAAGGUGAAAACAGACUGCUGGGGUUGCGCCGACGCUGAGACACGAAAGCCAGGGGAGCAAACGGG